rnacentral:rRNA from 1 species
GUGGGGAAUCUUGCGCAAUGGGCGAAAGCCUGACGCAGCGACGCCGCGUGGGUGAUGAAGGCCUUCGGGUUGUAAAGCCCUGUGGGGAGAGACGAAUAAGGAUGGGUGAACAGUCCAUUUGAUGACGGUAUCUCCUUAGCAAGCACCGGCUAACUCUGUGCCAGCAGCCGCGGUAAGACAGAGGGUGCAAACGUUGUUCGGAAUUACUGGGCGUAAAGCGCGUGUAGGCGGUUUAUCAAGUCGGGUGUGAAAUCCCUGGGCUCAACCUAGGAAGUGCAUUCGAUACUGGGAGACUUGAGUCUCGAAGAGGAUGGUGGAACUCUCGGUGUAGAGGUGAAAUUCGUAGAUAUCGAGAAGAACACCGGUGGCGAAGGCGGCCAUCUGGUCGGUGACUGACGCUGAGACGCGAAAGCGUGGGGAGCAAACAGGAUUAGAUACCCUGGUAGUCC